CAAAAAGUAGUUUAUUUUUAAAAUACCAGUUUUGGAGAUUGGAGAUCUGUUGUAGUUUUUUGA
rnacentral:tRNA from 1 species